rnacentral:rRNA from 1 species
UACACGACCGUACCGCAAACCGACACUGGUGCGCGAGAUGAGUAUUCUAAGGCGCUUGAGAGAACUCAGGAGAAGGAACUCGGCAAAUUGACACCGUAACUUCGGAAGAAGGUGUGCCUUUAGUAGGUGAAGGGAUUUACUCCUGGAGCCCAAUGAGGUUGCAAAAAAUCGGUGGCUGCGACUGUUUAUUAAAAACACAGCACUCUGCAAACACGAAAGUGGACGUAUAGGGUGUGACGCCUGCCCGGUGCUGGAAGAUUAAAUGAUGGGGUGCAAGCUCUUGAUUGAAGUCCCAGUAAACGGCGGCCGUAACAAUAACGGUCCUAAGGUAGCGAAAUUCCUUGUCGGGUAAGUUCCGACCUGCACGAAUGGCGUAACGAUGGCCACACUGUCUCCUCCUGAGACUCAGCGAAGUUGAAAUGUUUGUGAUGAUGCAAUCUCCCCGCGGAAAGACGGAAAGACCCCAUGAACCUUUACUGUAGCUUUGUAUUGGACUUUGAACAGAUCUGUGUAGGAUAGGUGGGAGGCUUUGAAGCAGGGUCGCUAGAUCUUGUGGAGCCAACGUUGAAAUACCACCCUGGUGUGUUUGAGGUUCUAACCUAGGCCCGUAAUCCGGGUUGGGGACAGUGCAUGGUAGGCAGUUUGACUGGGGCGGUCUCCUCCCAAAGUGUAACGGAGGAGUUCGAAGGUACGCUAGUUACGGUCGGACAUCGUGACGAUAGUGCAAUGGCAUAAGCGUGCUUAACUGCGAGACUGACAAGUCGAGCAGAUGCGAAAGCAGGACAUAGUGAUCCGGUGGUUCUGUAUGGAAGGGCCAUCGCUCAACGGAUAAAAGGUACUCUGGGGAUAACAGGCUGAUACCGCCCAAGAGUUCAUAUCGACGGCGGUGUUUGGCACCUCGAUGUCGGCUCAUCUCAUCCUGGGGCUGUAGCCGGUCCCAAGGGUAUGGCUGUUCGCCAUUUAAAGAGGUACGUGAGCUGGGUUUAAAACGUCGUGAGACAGUUUGGUCCCUAUCUUCCGUGGGCGCUGCAGAUUUGAGGAAGCCUGCUCCUAGUACGAGAGGACCGGAGUGGACGCACCUCUGGUGUAUCGGUUGUCACGCCAGUGGCAUUGCCGAGUAGCUAUGUGCGGAAGAGAUAACCGCUGAAAGCAUCUAAGCGGGAAACUCGUUUCAAGAUGAGAUCUGCCGGGGCCUUGAGCCCCCUGAAGAGUCGUUCAAGACCAGGACGUUGAUAGGUCGGGUGUGGAAGCGCAGUAAUGCGUUAAGCUAACCGAUACUAAUUGCUCGUGCGGCUUGACCCU